AUUGAACGCUGGCGGCAGGCCUAACACAUGCAAGUCGAACGGUAACAGGAAGCAGCUUGCUGCUUCGCUGACGAGUGGCGGACGGGUGAGUAAUGUCUGGGAAGCUGCCUGAUGGAGGGGGAUAACUACUGGAAACGGUAGCUAAUACCGCAUAAUGUCGCAAGACCAAAGAGGGGGACCUUCGGGCCUCUUGCCAUCGGAUGUGCCCAGAUGGGAUUAGCUUGUUGGUGGGGUAACGGCUCACCAAGGCGACGAUCCCUAGCUGGUCUGAGAGGAUGACCAGCCACACUGGAACUGAGACACGGUCCAGACUCCUACGGGAGGCAGCAGUGGGGAAUAUUGCACAAUGGGCGCAAGCCUGAUGCAGCCAUGCCGCGUGUAUGAAGAAGGCCUUCGGGUUGUAAAGUACUUUCAGCGGGGAGGAAGGGAGUAAAGUUAAUACCUUUGCUCAUUGACGUUACCCGCAGAAGAAGCACCGGCUAACUCCGUGC
rnacentral:rRNA from 1 species